AUGAACGCUGACAGAAUGCUUAACACAUGCCAGUCUUUGGCGAAGCUGUGCUUGCACAGCCUAGCCAAGGCGGACGGGUGAGUAACGCGUAAGGAACUUGCCCUGCAGUCAGGGAUAACAGACGGAAACGACUGAUAAGACCUGGUAAAGUCAGGCGGACUCAUGUCCAGCCUGAUGAAAAGAGAUGCUGCAGGAGAGCCUUGCGUCCUAUUAGCUUGUUGGUGGGGUAACGGCCCACCAAGGCGAUGAUAGGUAGCCGGCCUGAGAGGGUGGACGGCCACAAGGGGACUGAGAUACGGCCCUUACUCCUACGGGAGGCAGCAGUGGGGAAUAUUGGACAAUGGGGGCAACCCUGAUCCAGCAAUUCUGUGUGCACGAUGAAGGUUUUCGGAUUGUAAAGUGCUUUCAGCAGGGAAGAAAAAAUGACGGUACCUGCAGAAGAAGCGACGGCUAAAUACGUG
rnacentral:rRNA from 1 species